rnacentral:lncRNA from 1 species
AUCAAGAUUAGAGGCUCUGCUCUCCGUGUUCACAGCGGACCUUGAUUUAAUGUCAUACAAUUAAGGCACGCGGUGAAUGCCAAGAGCGGAGCCUACGGCUGCACUUGAAGGACACCAAAGCAUCUCAGGGUCAGAAAGGGGAAAAAGCAAUUGCAGGGAAUUUAGGGGGUAGUAAAAGGAACCCAUCUCUUGCCGCAUAAAUGCCCCCCACCCCCACCCAGGACUGAUUCUGGAAGCAACCUAGUGUUCGAAAGGGAAAGGCUCCUACUUUUCCAUUACAGCCGCGGAAAUCCGCAGGCAAAUCUCCGAGGAGAAUUUUAGGGAAGCUUCAUUGACAGCUGUCUGGAGAGCAGUAGUUCCCGCCUGUGCAAAUAUUCCAGAGAGUUAAAUCAUUUAGAAAGCACUAGUUCUUUCAAGAACAGGUAGUGUGAUUGUCUGCAGUCCUGGGCCAAGCUGGGAAAACAAAACAGCAGAGAGAGGUGUAACAUUAAAUAGCGUCCUGACCACACUGCGCAAGAAACAGCAAAUGAAACGUCCAAACUUUGGAAAGAUCUGAAGAACACUUGCCGCCCGCAUUUCCCCUUGACUUCUCCCUUUUUCUUCCCAAUCUCGAGGCGUUCAUGCCUGGCUUUAAGACGCCAAGAUAACUCUCUUGUUUUGGCAUUGUCGCAAUGUCCAAAUCGGUCAAAGGAGUGGGAUAAGGUGAAAGGACCAGGUCAGAAACUUUAGAAGGACUCGGUAAAUUAAUUUGUUUGGAAGCCAGUGAGGUGGACUAUGUUGAGGUAGCAGUUCCGCACCACGACUUUGGAGCCAAAGAAAAACCCAGGCCGAAAAAGCGAGCCUUGAUGUCUUUGUUCUGCCUUGGCCUGCAGGGGUUGGGAACAAAGGAGAGGAGCUAAGAGGAUGCACCAAAGUAGCCGCGCCCUCCCUGCCUGGCGCUGUCCGCGGUGCUGACCGUGGCCCUUUUCUCUCUCCGUAAUCAAACUGGAAAAGCAAUAGGACCGUCCCGUCCCUACUCAAAAGAAGAGUAGGAUAUUAGGUAAUUUGAAAAAUAACAUUUAAAAAGAGAAAAAGGUCACAUACAGCAAAACAAUAUUUUACUGAAAUCGUUCCCUCAAGCUGGUUGCUACCCUUGCCUGACACUUUUUGGUCUUCACGUAGGAAUGCACACAUACAUACAUUGUAAGUGUAUGGGGAAACCAUUUCCACUUUAUUUAGGCUGAAACCUAAAUCGCAGGAUUGCAAGAAGGAAAUUGAGGAGAAUGAAGGCUUUAUUAUUAUCCUUUUCUUUCUUAAAUCAUCUUCCUUAAAACAGAAACAUAAGGUCCUCAGCCGCGGAUUUUAGUGCUUACUUGGUCACCAAAGGGACGUGCAAUGGACUCAAGUGUGGGCCUCGAGGCUUAACUAGGAAGGGGUGGGUCGGGGACCCACCAGGUGAAACAGGGCAGGAGCCCAUGCAGCUUGCCACCUUCGGCCAGGCCUUGCAGCCCGGCAGCCUUAGUAGACGGGUACAGAGGGCUGAGCUCUGCAGACCGCUCUGCUGCGCAGGAGCCUGCUCGGCGCAUCCCAGCCGGCGGGAGGCACUGGAGGGCCAGGAGGCCUGAAACCCGCACUGCGGAAAAACCGACCUCAGCCACAUCCUCAUAGCUCACGCGACGGAAAGAGGCAGGGCGGUUUACUAAAUCUUAUGCAGUGAAAAUUCGCCUUAGAAAUCGAAGGUUGGAUGAGUCAGUAUUGAUAUAUUCAAAAAUCUAAAUUUCUUAGCAUAUUUCAUCGUUCUUAGAUGUUGAAAGUAUUAAAUGUAAACAAUACAAAUUUAAAUUCCCUAAGUAAUGAAUCAAAAUGGCAAGGGAGAGAGAGAGAGAGAGAGACGGAAAAUCAACCAAUUCGUAGCCACCCUGGCUGGCUAUUUCUCAAAAGAAAUUUCUAUGCAUUUGCUUGAGUUUGUCUAUAAAUUCACAAACAUAAAGGGUGUUAAAAUUAGUAACAGACAAAAUAAUUCAGGUUGGACAAUAGAGACAGCAACACCGAUUUUGAUCCAGGUAUAACAAUGGGCCAUGCAUUGACAAUGACCUAAAAGACAUGUGUUCAUUAAGUUAUUUUUUUUACACGGGAUGUAGAUGUAUCAUAAAAUUCAUGAAAUAAAGCGGCCAGGUGCAAUAUCCUCAGAGAGCUGCCUUCUCACCCCCUGCCUCAGGGCGGAUUUUAUCUGUCCUCGAAUUUUAGAACUCUGCAAGUCGGGUCUUUCACAUUCAUCGAUUACUUUGGUUUAUAUUUAAUUUUAUCCAAUUUCGGAGUGGGUGGGUAAAGCACACUGGAAAAUAGGGGCUGCUCGAAUUACAAAAUUUAAGGAUUGGGAAUAUUCCUCUUGUGCCAAUUAAAAGCAGUCGUUGGAAGCAGAAAUGAAUUUAAAGCAUUACACGUUAUCAUGGCGGCCUUGCUUUUUCCUUCCAGUAUUCAUCCAAUUGCGCUGAUCUCCUGCAUCCACAUCUUGCGUAAUCCACAAAGCAGCUAUGGUCCAGGGCUGCAAAAUCGUCCUGCCUGAUUCCUUUAGAAUUCAUACUACCUCAGAGGAGCAAACCUAAUCCCCUCAGCCUAAUCCUACCUGUUUAGGAUCAUCUAAACUUGUCCUUCAGAAAGCUUGAUCAGUUUAAAAUUGCUUUCUAAAUAGAAAUGAAAUACGUGAUAUGAGAGAGGUUAAAAUACUGCUUAAAAAGGGAAACACUCAAUUUAGUAAUUCGGUUGCCUAGAUGAAAUCGAGUGGCUAUUGAUCCGUGAUGUUUCUAGAUUUUUAAGACUAUGUACUUCCUAUUUCUUUGGAAAAUAAUCAUCCAGUUUGAUGCCCAUUACAAAUUUUCCUGCUAUGAAAGAAAUUCUAUGCGCGGCAGUUUUGCAAUAAAACAACCCGGGCUUCGCAAUGGGAGAACUUCGGUGCGGCGUGCCGUGAGAGUCCUUUGACAAUCUCAGCUUUCAUCUAGGUCUGAAAUUAAAGCUUCUCGGAAUAAUUUAGGAACAGCUUGACCCGUUGAGAUACUCAAGGACAACCCUCCAGGGAAAUAGUAUGUUUCCUUCCUGGGAACAAGAUGCUAGCGCGGUGCACCGGGAGGUAUCUGGUGUCAACAAUGCCAGAGCGCCCUCUGCUGCCUCAAAGAGGCAGGACACCAGUUACAAAAGCCAGAUGGCACAGUGGCAAUAAGCGGAGGAAACAUUAAGCUCUUAGAAACGUUUAAUCUGUGAAAUUUAAAAGCUCUCAUCAUAUUCUACUUUUGAAAGGGCCACCUGAUUUUGAUUUUGAGCACUCCUUGGAUGUUAUCUUCUAUUCUGGAGGAUAAUGAAAAGUCCGUGUUUUGAAGUUUUCAGAUUAUUUCUGUAGUUAUAUUUCUCCACUCUUUCUCGAAUUUUAUAUGGAAAUACGAAAUUGCAAAUCUAAGUGAAAAACCUUUGUGUAAAACAGGUGAGUGGAGAAGACGUCCUGGUUUCUCCAAAUAACUAAGAUCUAAUAAAGAAACAAAUCUUAAUU